rnacentral:lncRNA from 1 species
CCAUUCUGACACAUUCUUGGUUGUGUCAGGUUUGUAGAGGAACUGCUGUAAUGCUGGUUGCUCCAACAGACGGUACUGAGGAAAUUGCAAAUCCGUUUCUUGCGAAUGAGACUCCUGCUGCUACUUGAUUUGUCUCUCCAUCAUCAACAACCACGUAAACAUCGUUCAAUCCCUAAAUUUCCGCAUGUUUUUAUCAUAAAGUAGAUGUGCUAUGAUGCAUCACUUCCAUGUCUUUGCAGUUUGUUUCAAAAAGGUUGAUUAGUGCUAUGCAUGGAAUUUAGCAUGAUCAUUAAGAAACGGUUGAUUAUUUUACUUACAGAUGACCAAUUUUAUGGACAGUGCUUAAGUGGUUAUUUGAACCUUUUCACCUAUAAGAAGAAGAAACUUUCUCACCAUUUUACUCUUGAUCGGUGUAACCAUUCGGGUCGUUGGUCUUAUGAUCUUAUUCAACGUGUUUUGAAACAGGUUCGCGUUCGGGAGAUCACUCCUCCCUUCUGGCUGGACAGUGGUGUUACAUAUAAUUGUCCUGCGGAAUGGAUGU